AAGUCGUAACAAGGUCCCCGUAGGUGAACCUGCGGAGGGAUCAUUACAAGAACGCCCGGGCUUCGGCCUGGUUAUUCAUAACCCUUUGUUGUCCGACUCUGUUGCCUCCGGGGCGACCCUGCCUUCGGGCGGGGGCUCCGGGUGGACACUUCAAACUCUUGCGUAACUUUGCAGUCUGAGUAAACUUAAUUAAUAAAUUAAAACUUUUAACAACGGAUCUCUUGGUUCUGGCAUCGAUGAAGAACGCAGCGAAAUGCGAUAAGUAAUGUGAAUUGCAGAAUUCAGUGAAUCAUCGAAUCUUUGAACGCACAUUGCGCCCCCUGGUAUUCCGGGGGGCAUGCCUGUUCGAGCGUCAUUUCACCACUCAAGCCUCGCUUGGUAUUGGGCAACGCGGUCCGCCGCGUGCCUCAAAUCGUCCGGCUGGGUCUUCUGUCCCCUAAGCGUUGUGGAAACUAUUCGCUAAAGGGUGUUCGGGAGGCUACGCCGUAAAACAACCCCAUUUCUAAGGUUGACCUCGGAUCAGGUAGGGAUACCCGCUGAACUUAA
rnacentral:rRNA from 1 species